GUAUCAUAUGUACAUUUAUAUGUGUAAAGAAGAUAAUAAAAAGUCUUCCUCAACUAAUUUUUCAUGUUAGGGUGUAAUGCUGUAGACCACUGUCCUAAGUUAGAUUUGAUUUGAUUUCUGGUGUUCAAGCACCACUUUUGAGCACCGCAUUUAGACUAUUUCGUUGCGGUCCCUUUUGAUUUGUGGAGUGACCGGAGAAAACCACCGACCUUCGAUAGGAAAACUGACAAUCAUAGUUAAUCAAGAUUGGAGUCGAGUGCACCAGCAUGAGCGAAGUUCGAUCUCACAACUUCCGUGUUGACUGGCUAGUGAUUCAAGUAGUAACUACUUAAACCAAUUGGCCACCGAGGCCUCUCCCAAGUUAGAGGGAUUAUAAGUGAUCAUCAAGAUUUUGAACACAUCACAUGUGUUUUGUCUGUCAUAGGCCAGUAGAAUUUGAUAUCAAGAUAAUAUUUUACCUGUUUGACGGAAAUUCAGGGAAAAUAUGAUCCAAUGUCAUCCAUUAUGAUGAUAUUCAUUUGUCCCGCCCUAUUGCCACCAGAACAUAAUUAUAAGUAAGCUUUUUUUUUAUAUAUAUAGAUCAGACCGUUAGUUUUCCCAUUUGAAUAGUUUUACACUAGUAAUAUUGGGCCCUUUAUAGCUUGUUGUUCGGUGUGAGCCAAGGCUCCGUGUUGAAGGCCGUACAUUGACCUAUAAUGGUUUACUUUUACAAAUUGUUUUUUUGGAUGGAGAAUUGUCUCAUUGGCACUCAUACCACAUCUUCAUAUACUAUCUAGAUAUACCCAAUAUUCUGAUAUAUGUUUUUAAGUUAAAUUAUGCCAUUUUGUUUCGUUUAACAUCACUACAUUAUGAAUAGAAUUUAAAUGAUCAGCAUUAUAUGUUUGAUAUUGUUUGGUUAUUUUUUGUGAUAUUUCUUUACGUAUUCACUUGUAGAUUGGUCAUUUGUAGAAAUAAAUAAACAUCUUAUCUAUAAAGUAGCUGGUUUUGUUCCUUCAUUAACAUUUUAAGAUUUUCCAGAAAUAGAUUUCCUAGAAUCAAGAACAAUAAAAGCAGGCAAUCGUCAAAUAACACAAGCUUACAGAACAUCACACUUUCGACAUAAAAAGCAAAACAAAUACGUAAGAGGAAAUAGUUAGAAUUAAGGCA
rnacentral:lncRNA from 1 species